GAUGAACGCUAGCGGCAGGCCUAAUACAUGCAAGUCGAGGGGCAGCACGGUUAGCAAUAACUGGUGGCGACCGGCGCACGGGUGCGUAACACGUAUACAAUCUGCCUUUAACAGGGGGAUAGCCCGGAGAAAUCCGGAUUAAUACCCCAUAAUACUAGGAAUGGCAUCAUUUUUAGUUAAAGCUCCGGCGGUUAGAGAUGAGUAUGCGUCUGAUUAGCUAGUAGGUGAGGUAACGGCUCACCUAGGCCACGAUCAGUAGGGGAUCUGAGAGGAUUAACCCCCACACGGAUACUGAGACACGGAUCCGACUCCUACGGGAGGCAGCAGUAAGGAAUAUUGGACAAUGCCCGCAAGGGUGAUCCAGCCAUGCCGCGUGCAGGAAGAC
rnacentral:rRNA from 1 species